rnacentral:rRNA from 1 species
UUAAACGGCCGCGGUAUCCUAACCGUGCAAAGGUAGCAUAAUCACUUGUCCUCUAAAUAAGGACUAGAAUGAAUGGUCAAAUGAGGACUAAACUGUCUCUUACAUCCAACCAAUAAAACUGAUCUUUUAGUUAAAAAGCUAAAAUAAACCCAUAAGACGAGAAGACCCUGUGGAGCUUCAAACCAAGCCCACAAACAUGCCCACUUGGUUUUUAGUUGGGGCGACUUCGGAGUACAAAAAAACCUCCAAUCGGACCUCACGUGCUAAGACAAACAUGCCAAAACACAUUAAACCCAGACCCAGUAGUUUAAAUACUACCUGACCAAUGAACCAAGUUACCCCAGGGAUAACAGCGCCAUCCUCUUCCAGAGUCCAUAUCGACAAGAGGGUUUACGACCUCGAUGUUGGAUCAAGACUACCUAAUAGUGCAACCGCUAUUAAAGGUUCGUUUGUUCAACGAUAAAAGUCCUACGUGAUCU